UGGGCAACCUGCCCUCAGCUCUGGGAUAACUCCAAGAAAUUGGGGCUAAUACCGGAUGUGACCGCUGACCGCAUGGUCUGGUGGUGGAAAGAUUUAUCGGCUGGGGAUGGGCCCGCGGCCUAUCAGCUUGUUGGUGGGGGUAGCGGCCUAUCAAGGCGACGACGGGUAGUCGGCCUGAGAGGGUGACCGGCCACACUGGGACUGAGACACGGCCCAGACCUCCGUACGGGAG
rnacentral:rRNA from 1 species